rnacentral:rRNA from 1 species
CCUACGUGCGGCAGCAGUGGGGAAUAUUGCACAAUGGCGGAAACCCUGAUGCAGCGAAGCCGCGUGAGUGAAGAAGUAAUUCGUUAUGUAAAGCCCUAUCAGCAGGGAAGCAAAUGACGGUACCUGAGUAAGAAGCCCCGGCUAACUACGUGCCAGCAGCCGCGGUAAUACGUAGGGGGCAAGCGUUAUCCGGAUUUACUGGGCGUAAAGGGAGCGUAGACGGCAGUGCAAGUCUGGAGUGAAAGGCGGGGGCCCAACCCCCGGACUGCUCUGGAAACUGUACGGCUGGAGUGCAGGAGAGGUAAGUGGAAUGCGUAGUGUAGCGGUGAAAUGCGUAGAUAUUAGGAGGAACACCAGUGGCGAAGGCGGCUUACUGGACUGUAACUGACGUUGAGGCUCGAAAGCGUGGGGAGCAAACAGGAUUAGAUACCCCAGUAGUC